GGUGCUCCCCAUCACACAGACGCCAGACGCUCCUGGUCUCACCACUGUCCCGCAGAGGCCAACCUAGGACCAGGACUGGGGUGCAGGUAGUUUAUUUGGGAGGUGAUACUAAAAGCCCCAGGGAGGAGUGGGGAAACCGAGGCAGGGAGGGAAGAAACCCGAUGACGUUUGCCAAACGAGGAGGUUACCAUUGUGGGCAACUGAGGCACAGUCCUGCUGGGCCCUCUGAGAACCCCAGGGCACGCGCCUCAGCAUCGGCCCCCUGGAGGACAAGGACGCUGGGUAUAGGCGUUUCUCUCCUGACCGCCCGUGGGUGGAGGGUGGUCGUGGGGGCGCGGGUGGACCAGGCCCCGGGAGGGGGCUCAGUGCCUGGGGAGCUGCCGCAGCGCCCUCAGGUGGCCUGCGUGGACGGAGCAGCUCCAGCGUGUCUGGCCCUGCAUUGGGGUCCUAGAACCCGGCCUCAGCGUGGCCAAGGAACCAGGCCAGUGUGGCAGACUCAGGGGCAGCUCGGAGCUGCUCAGGCGGACCUGCAUUUUCACAAGCUCCCCCAGUGCUGUGAGCGCAGGAAAGUGUGAGAAGCUCUGGGAGGUCUGGAUUCCUCCCCCAACCCCACUCCCCCCACAACACCCCCCAUGGAAAAGGCAUCACCUGAAGCAAACCCUCUGCUCACCUGUGAGCCCAGGGAGCAGGCUGGAGGGGGUUCUGCUUCCCCAAAAUGGAAGGUCAGCAAACACUGGUGAGCAGCCAUAAAUAAGACAGAUGUCCUCCCCCCCAGGCACUGUGGCCUCUUCUCCCCUUGCUCCUCCACCAGCUCACUCAGGCCUGCAUGCACUGCCUCUGGUCUGGCCUCCCGCUUCCCUCUCCCUCUUCCCCUCCCUCCCUUCUCCCCUCAGCUCUGCAGCUGGAAGGAUUCAAAUCCACACCCAACAAAGCCCACCAGCACUUCACACCCCCUGUGGCUUCCAGUGCUCCUAGGGUCCUGGCCUGGCUGGGCACCCCACCUCUGAGCACCCCCUCCCCCCUUCUGUCACCCUCCCCCCCACGCCAGGCUCCACCCACACUGACCACGUGGCGCCUGUGUGCCCAGCUCGUAUGUGCCUCAAGGUCCUUGCAGAUGCUGUUCCCCCUGUCUAGAAUGCUACACUCGUUCCAGGUUGACUCCUGUGCUUCCUUCAGGCCUCAGUCUGGACGUUGUCUCUUCCUUGGGGCCUGCUGCUCCCUCCACCCUGUCACUCCUGCACAUCACAGCCUUUACAGUUCUUCAUGACAACUGUCACAGUGUGUCACUAACAUGGGCUCUGUGGUACUUUCCCACGUGGCUGGCCUCGCAGUUUGCUGUGGCUGAACAUAAGGAGGCCGUUUGUCCCCCGGGACUGCACAGGAUAUGGUGCUGCCCUAGUCUGUGCUCGGUAUACAAGGCCGCAGUGGAACUGCACAGCCACGUGCUCUCCUGGUCGGUGACAUGGCAGGGCCAGCAUGGUGGAGAAGCCUGACAGCCCCACCCAGAAUCAGGGAUGGGCUCUGGGUGCGUCCUGGCUCAGGCGACCCGCCAGCCCUCCUGAGGUGCAGGCGACCCCGGACACAUCCUGGGACGAGCCGGUGCCCGAGACCAGGGAGAAAGCGAGCCCCAGGGGACCCUCAACACUCCGCACGGGGUCAUCACAGGUGCCGACACAGGCAAACAUGGUUGAGGCUGGGACGCACGGAGCCCUGGGUGCUGGGUGAGCACGGGCAGGGGCCAGUCCAGGUCCCGGCUCACGCCUCGGUGACCAGGAUGACCAGUGGGCACUGACGGUGGAACUGCCUGUCCCGCCACAAGUGAAGCAGGGGUGCCGUGACCUGGUGGACAGUGGAGGUCCUUCUGACUGCUGAGGGGACGUGCACGGUGGGACAUGGGAGGCCCUAUCUGCAGCUGUCCCUGCCAUGUGCCCCAUCUGACACAAGGGGGCAGUGGUGAGCUGAGACCUCGCUGCCCAAGCUGUGCAGGUGUCCAUCUAAGGUGAGGAAGUGCCGUGGAGUCCCCGGUUCCUCGUUGGAUGUUUCCCAGGUAAAGCAGGAGGUCUCCCCUUACGGAGCCCUAUGUCGGGCACAAAGCCACCAUCCAGAUCACCUGCCUACAGAGGAGAUUUGUUUCUCCCUUUAAUGUGAGAGGUGGAUCAGGGCUUGAAGAAGAACUUACACACGCCCCGUCUGGGCUGCUCAUCUUCAGCCUCAUCGUGCGGCUGCCCUGGGCGGCGGUUUAAGAGAACAGGAGAAAUGGUCCGCAAUCGCAGAACCAGACUUCUCUGCAAAGUAAAAAUAGCUUUAUGAUGAUUCUAAAAGCAAUGCAUUCUUGUUAGAAAACGAAAGUCAACAAAAGGGGCCUAAAGAAGAAACUUUUAGAAAUCACCAGAGCCACGCUUUUAGCUGAUCUCUUAGUACUGGACACUUGGGUUGUUGACAAAUGUCACUAAACAUGAUCCUUUAUGUAAAUAUUUAUCUAUAAACUUUGGCAGACCUUCCUAAUCAUGUCUCAGGGUAAGUUUUCUAUGAGUGCAACGCUGUAGGCAAACGGGCUCCAUGUGGUAAGAGCUUUUAAAGCUUGAGCAGGCCCCAGCGCGCUCCCCCAGCAGAGUAAGAGGGACCCGCCUCCCACUCUGCUUCUGAGACUGAAGACUUCCGCUCCAGAUGCUUUGAGAACUUGAAGGAUAAAAAGUACGUCUCAUUUUUACAAAGAGUAAUCACUUUGUUCUUGUAAAAUUGGUACACUAUAAAAAUAAAAUAAUUUAAGGAUUACCAAAAAGAAUAGAGAAGAAAAGAGAAAACUGUCCUAAAUCCCACCAUCUGGAAAUAACCAUGGUUUCGUUUGAACAUCCUUCCAGAAUCUGUUUGGAAAGGCAGGUUCAAGGACAGGCAGCUGGAGGGGCGGAUAGGGUGAGGUCAGGAUGGGGCCUGACACACAAGCCUGCUUCUCCAGACACGUCCAAACUCCAGAGAACAGCGAGGAGAUGGUACAGAGAGGACAGCUCUCUCAGGGCGCUGGACCCCAGCGACAUGCUGGCGUCUC